GAUCAAGAAGACCACCACCAUCAACCACAUCAGAGCCAGAAAAACGAGGAGACUCGUCAUCAAGACGGCCACCACCAGGAUCAAGAAGACCACCACCAUCAACCACAUCAGAGCCAGAAAAACGAGGAGACUCGUCAUCAAGACGGCUACCACCAGGAUCAAGAAGACCACCACCAUCAACCACAUCAGAG